UAAAUUUGUGUUGUUUUUCAGCCACUAAGUUUGUGCCAGUUUGUCACAGCAGCAACAGGAUACUAACCACAAUGUGACCUCCCUAAAUUCCCAGGGCAUACGGAAGUUCCAGGGCCAGGGACCAAACCAAACCAAGCAGUGACAAUGCAGAAUCCUUAACCAGGGAACUCCUCAUUUUGAAAAUAUUGAAUAAAACACAUCUUCCUCAUUUUUACUCCUUUAAAAAAAAAAGCUAAUUUUACCACUUAUUUUCUUUCUUCCUUUUCUUUCUUUCUUU
rnacentral:lncRNA from 1 species